rnacentral:rRNA from 1 species
UACGUAGGGGGCGAGCGUUGUCCGGAAUUAUUGGGCGUAAAGAGCUCGUAGGCGGCCUGUCGCGUCGGAUGUGAAAGCCCGGGGCUUAACCCCGGGUCUGCAUUCGAUACGGGCAGGCUGGAGUGUGGUAGGGGAGAUCGGAAUUCCUGGUGUAGCGGUGAAAUGCGCAGAUAUCAGGAGGAACACCGGUGGCGAAGGCGGAUCUCUGGGCCAUUACUGACGCUGAGGAGCGAAAGCGUGGGGAGCGAACAGG